rnacentral:rRNA from 1 species
GAUGAACGCUAGCGAUAGGCUUAACACAUGCAAGUCGAGGGGUAACGUGUUGGAAGCUUGCUUCCGAUGACGCCGACCGGCGGAUGGGUGCGUAACGCGUAUGCAACUUGCCUCACAGUGGAGAAUAACCCGGAGAAAUCCGGACUAAUACUCCAUACACUCUUAAGUACGCCUGUACAUGAGAGGAAAGAUUUAUCGCUGUGAGAUAGGCAUGCGUCCUAUUAGGUAGUUGGUGAGGUAACGGCUCACCAAGCCGACGAUAGGUAGGGGUGCUGAGAGGCAGAUCCCCCACAUUGGGACUGAGACACGGCCCAAACUCCUACGGGAGGCAGCAGUGAGGAAUAUUGGUCAAUGGAGGAAACUCUGAACCAGCCAAGUCGCGUGAAGGAAGAAUGUCCUAAGGAUUGUAAACUUCUUUAGCGAGCGAGUAAGGACUUCCACGUGAUGGGAGUUUGAAAGUAGCUCGAGAAUAAGUAUCGGCUAACUCCGUG